rnacentral:misc_RNA from 1 species
CAUCUCCAUGCAAAUUCCACAUUCCUCUUCUCUUUCAAAAUCAAUUUGAGAGAGUUUGCCCCUCUCCAAUUCAUCCUUUCUCCUAUACCUGGUAUUGCAAACCUCUUUUUGUUUCUUGUCUUCCAAAUCAGUGAUUCCUCUUUGAAGUUGCAACAGAGAAGGAAAAAUCACAGCAUAAAAUUCUCUAAUGCUAGCUUUCCUUUCAUAAACAGACAUAGUUGUCUUGCCAUCAGCAUAUGUCACAUACACAAGAAUUCUAAGCAAACCGAGGGCACCAGCAAGAUGACAAUCAGCCCAUUGAACAAGAAAAAGAAGAAAUUGAGCUGCUGGACUGUGGGAUAAUCUCAUCUGAAGACGAGCACCAUCAAUCUCCCUUGGAUAAUCUAGAGCACUGUGUUAACAAGAAGGUGAAAAAGGGAGGCAAAAAAAGUCAACAUAUAUCCAUCAACUGUUAUAUCAUCAUGGUAAUAUGGAAUGUAAAACCUCAUGCAUUGAGGAUCCAGCAUCACAAUUCUAUUGCAUUUAUUCAUCCUGCAAUGCAGGAAACCUCAUGUAUUGGGAUAUGUACCUUUAUCAAACUAUUAAGGAUCUAUUAUCAAAAUUCCACUGCAUUUACCUUUGACAUGCAUAACAAGAGAUCUUGCUUGCAACAAUGACCCAUAAGAUCUCAUAGCAAAUUUUCUAUAUCAACAUCAGAAUGUUAAUUGAAUGUCAUACAUUACCAUAGUUAUUAAAGGCGCGCUUCAAGCUCCAGGCUCCAGUCCUAGUGUCUCUACAGGAGAAAGGCAGGCAAC